rnacentral:pre_miRNA from 1 species
UUUUUUCUCUAAAUAUGUCCCAUGCAACAUUUGGGACAUAUUUAUACCAGAA